AUGUAUACAGUUAAAUAAUAUUAAGACUAGUUUAAAGGGAAAAUUAUUACAAAUUAAAGACUGUCAAAAGUAUCAGCUAAGAAAUAAAAACAUGUUGAGAAAUGCAUUGGUGCGAACAAAAAAAUGUCAGGACUCUCCAUUACAUAGUACAAUAAGUGUCUUCAAUAAAAUUCCAGAAACUAUUGUGAAUCUAAAAAGCUACAAAAAUAUGUGUAAAAGACUAAAACAAUACCUUAAGGUAAACUAAAUAAAUAUAUUAAAUAUGUAAGGCUGUAAGCCAUAAUCUCUAUAUUAAUCAAGCAAUAUUGUACUAAACUUAUUUAGAAUUAUGUUCCUAAUUUUGUUGUAUUUUUUUCUUUUUUUUUUGUUAAGUUUUAGGCCCUGGUGCCAGUUUGUAAACUGUUUUUGGGUCAUAAAUAAAGUUAUUAAAAAAAAAGACCCGAAACAAGUUUAAGAAUUGGGAAGAACACAUAUUUUACAAUUGCAACAGGAGCGAUAUCAGAGGUUGUCAUUAUCAUUACAAGUCUUAGUUAUCAUUAUCAAACAUACAUAAGUAUGUUUUGUUGUGUUUACUUUUAGGAUUUAAUAGCGCGUGCAAAGUGAGAAGUCUGGGGGAAGCAUUCGCAUUCAAGGAACAUGUCAACAAAACCAAACUCAAAUAGCUAUCAGCAUAAAAUUGUAAUAGAAGCCCAUAACAAAGCCGAAAAAAUGAAUGGUAAGGUAGAAUUUUUAGAAUUUGGAAAAUUUAAAGUCAAAGUGUUUCGGUAAGUGGUAAGUUCUAUGUUGUGUCUUGUCAUGAACUAUGUGAUGAGCAAUGUCGCACUGGAUACUGUAACAUCUGUAAAAUAUGUUUUCAUAAAUACAGAUGUGAGUGUCCAGAAAAUUCUGUUAAAACAGUACUUUGUAAACAUAUACAUGCUGUAGGCUGUAGCCAUUUUUGAGCAGAGGAGCGAGUUUGUUGUAGGUUCCCCAACUGUGAGUGAAGAGGAAGAGGAUAAAGUUUUUUUUGUUGAUCAACCCACAACUAGCCAAAUCAAUUAUCAGGAGGAUGUAAACCAUUUUAUUCAGGAGAGUUCAAAAAUGAAAGUCAAUAGUUCUGCAAUGGACUUUGAAGAAAAUCGAGAAAUUGCAUUGCAAGAAAUUUGUAGCUAUGGUAGAAGUUUGAAUAAAUAUGCAUUUGCCAGAUUUAUGGCUGUAAUCAACAAAUUUAAAAAUAAAGAAGUGGACGAAGAAAAUUCUCAGGGCAUUGAAAAGAAAAGAAAAAUUGAAAAACAAAUGUACUAUCAAAAUAAAAAAUAAGCUAGAUUUCUUUGUGUAUUUAAUGGCUAGAUAAUAUUUGAAUUGUAGCUAUUUUUUUAUGUUUGUAUAGCUGUGAAGUUAACAAAAAUAGGAUGUGGUAUUUUAUAUGCUAUUUUGUGUUAUAAUCAGUAUAAUAUAACUAAGUAUAUUUUUUGUAAGGUUUUGGCGCAGGUUUCAAAUUGUAAAUACAAAUUUUAUGUAAGAGGUCAUAUACAUAACUAGGUAUAGUUUUUGUAAGGCUUACCGCUUAAUUUGGUGUAGGUUUCAAAUUGUAAAAACAAAUUUUAAGACGUCAUAAUGGUUUAAAUAACGGUGUUGGUUUCUGUAUAACUAUUUUUAUAUCUUUUAUUUUAAGACUAAAAUGUUAGCUUAUUUUGUAUGUUAAUAUUCAACUAAUCAUUUUCUACAUUUUGUUUGCUAUGUUUUUAAUAUUUGUUAGGGUGCAGAAAAGCUAAUUGGAUUAACUUGAAAUUGACACGGAACGAGGGGGAACAUCCUUUGUGAGUAUAUAUUUAUUAAUUAAAAUGUAUACAGAGCAGUAAUUUAUUUUCAUGUUACUAUUGAAUGGAAGUUUGAAUGGUUUGGGCUGUAUAUACAUGAGCAGCAGAGAUGACAAAUAAGCUAAAGAAGUGCGAGUCUACAUACUAUAUACCAGAUUAAUACAUUUAGCCUCUUUGCAUUUAAUUUUGAGGUUGUUGAUAUUAAAAAUACCAUAAAUUAUUAUAUUUAAAUAACAAAUAAAUUUAUAGAUUUUUUAUUAUUUUAAAUAAACAAAGUUAAAAUAUAA